CCCCUAGAUGUUCUGGGCCGCACGCGCGCUACACUGAACAGUUCAACAAGUCUCAACCUUGGCCGAUAGGUCUGGGUAAUCUUUGAACGCUGUUCGUGAUUGGGAUAGACCUUUGCAAUUAUGGGUCUUCAACGAGGAAUUCCUAGUAAACGCAAGUCAUCAGCUUGCAUUGAUUACGUCCCUGCCCUUUGUACACACCGCCCGUCGCACCUACCGAUUGAAUGGUCCGGUGAAAUCUCGGGACGGCGGCUUGGUCGCUUGCGUCCGACUGCUGAAACUUGAUUAAACCAUAUCAUUUAGAGGAAGGUGAANUCGUANCA
rnacentral:rRNA from 1 species